rnacentral:rRNA from 1 species
CCUACUGGUGGCAGCAGUAGGGAAUUUUGCGCAAUGGGCGAAAGCCUGACGCAGCAACGCCGCGUGAUCGAGACGCCCUUCGGGGUGUAAAGAUCUGUCAGUGGGGACGAAACUUGACGGUACCCACACAGGAAGCACCGGCUAACUCGGGGCCAGCAGCCGCAGCAAUACGGGGGGUGCAAGCGUUGUCCGGAAUCAUUGGGCGUAAAGAGUUCGUAGGCGGGUCGUAAAGUCAGGUGCUAAAGGCAGAGGCUCAACUUCUGUACGGCACUGGAUACUUGCCAGCUAGACUGCGGUAGAGGUAAAGGGAAUUCCUGGUGUAGCGGUGAAAUGCUUAGAUAUCAGGAGGAACAUCGGUGGCGUAAGCGCUUUACUGGGCCGUAAUUGACGCUGAGGAACGAAAGCCAGGGUAGCAAAUGGGAUUAGAUACCCGGGUAGUC